AUGAUGCAAUGAGGGCGUUCCUCUCUUUCUGCCUUUUGACCUAAUCCUCAGUGCUCUCGUAUCGUUCACUGUGUCCGGGAAUUGUACAGAAAGAAAACUGAAACCGUUUUUGAAAGCAGUGAAAAUGUCUGUGUUAUUGGACACCUAGCAUAUUAAAUGCAUGCCGUGUCAUUUCUGAACUCUUAUCACCAAGGAGAAAGGGGAACUAUGGUGUUAGAAUUACUAGCUCAGCUUUGUAUUCUCCUGCAGGUGACAGGUGUCUUUUCUGCCAGUCACUCUUAUCGCUAUUAUUACACCGGGAUCACAGAAAAUGCAAAUGGCCAGCCUGUGUUCACCGCCACCGCGUAUGUGGAUGAUUAUCCAAUUGGAGCUUACACCAGUCACUCCAAAGAGUUUAAACUCCAAACCGACUGGAUAAAGGAAAAAACAGAUCCAGAACUGUGGGAGAGAAAUAGUGAGAUCUUUCAGGGUUGGGAGAUCGAAUUCAAAAAGGGUGUCAGGAGUCUGAUGAAUCAUUACAACCACACAGAUGGAUUCCAUACACUUCAGUGGAUGUACGGCUGUGAGCUCCAUGACAAUGGCAGCAUGAGUGGAUACGAUCUUGAUGGAUAUGAUGGAAAAGAGUUCAUGGCCCUAGAUGUAGAAAGAGUUAUCCACACAGCUUCCCUUCCAGAAGCCGAGACCAUUGUUGAGAAAUGGAACACUGAAACAAAUGAGGCAGAGAGAAUGAAAAAUUACCUGCAAGAGCAGUGUAUCGAGUCAUUGAAGAAAUACAUCCGUUCUGGAAAAGAGAACCUCGAAAGGAAAGUUCUUCCAGAGAUAAACAUUUCUGAGAAGACAACGGACAAUGGCAUAACCCUACACUGCCAUGCCUAUGGAUUUUACCCCCGAGAUAUUGAUGUCAAGUGGAUGAGAAAUCAUAGAGAAGAGGUUCCUUGUCAAGAUGACCAGUACAUCCUGCCCAACACUGAUGGAACAUACCAGGUCCAAGCUUCUAUACACAUUCUGUCCAAAGAUGGGGACAGCUAUUCUUGUCAUAUUGAUCACAGCAGUCAGACGGAAACUCGUAUCUUGACAUGGAAACCCACGAAGGAUGCGACAAUAUAUAUUGUCAUGGCUUUGUGUGUCUCAGUGAUUGUCCUGGUUACUGCACUUGUUGUAAUAUGGAAGCGCCGGGGUGCUGGAAAUAACAACUCUAACUAUGCUCUCUCUACAACUGAAGAUAAGGAUGUGCCUGUGUCCCUUCCAGCUGUCUGAGGUAACUGCAGAACAGCUUGGCUGGAAUCCCAGAGAUAUUUUAUUUCAAAUUCUAUGCUGUUGCUGGGCAUGAGGAAGUGGAACCUGACAUCCAUCAAUCUCAACUUAAUCUUAGCUCCACACCUUGGCAAGCUGUGCUACUAUAUCAUCAUCCUAUACUACAACUUACAUAAUGUUUCUAGUGGUAGAGAGGGACGACUGAGCAUUGAAGGAACCUCAAAACCCAUCACAACAUUCCAUCUUCAGAAUCAGGCAGCAGAAAAAAACACAUCUGGACCCCUAAUCGCAAGGAACAAUUUACAAGUAGCAGCACAUGACGGAUCAAGGAGAGCAGUGCAGGAGUGCACGGAUCAUACGACAUCCAU